ensembl:snRNA U1 U1 spliceosomal RNA
UUACCUUCGUCCUAAAAAAUUUUUAAACCAUGAUCAUGAAGGUGGUUUUCCCAGGGCGAGGCUCAUCCAUUGCACUCCGAAUGUGCUGACCCCUGUGGUUUCCCCAAAUGUGGGAAAAUGAGUUGCAUAAUUUGUGGUAGUGGGGGUCUGCGUUCGUGCUUUCCCCUU